rnacentral:rRNA from 1 species
AUACAGAGGGUGCGAGCGUUAAUCGGAAUUACUGGGCGUAAAGCGCGCGUAGGCGGCUGAUUAAGUCAGAUGUGAAAUCCCAGGGCUCAACCUUGGAACUGCAUCUGAUACUGGUCAACUAGAGUUUAGGAGAGGGAAGUAGAAUUUCAGGUGUAGCGGUGAAAUGCAUAGAUAUCUGAAGGAAUACCAGUGGCGAAGGCGGCUUCCUGGCCUAAAACUGACGCUGAGGUGCGAAAGCGUGGGUAGCAAACGGGAUUAGAAACCCCAGUAGUCC